rnacentral:rRNA from 1 species
UGGGGAAUUUUGCGCAAUGGGGGAAACCCUGACGCAGCAACGCCGCGUGGAGGAUGAAGCCCCUUGGGGCGUAAACUCCUUUCGAUCGGGAAGAUAAUGACGGUACCGGAAGAAGAAGCCCCGGCUAACUUCGUGCCAGCAGCCGCGGUAAUACGAGGGGGGCGAGCGUUGUUCGGAAUUAUUGGGCGUAAAGGGCGCGUAGGCGGUUGGACAAGUCUCAUGUGAAAUCUUCAGGCUCAACUUGAAGUCUGCAUGGGAAACUGUCCGGCUGGAGUGUGGGAGAGGUGCGUGGAAUUUCCGGUGUAGCGGUGAAAUGCGUAGAUAUCGGAAGGAACACCUGUGGCGAAAGCGGCGCACCGGACCAUAACUGACGCUGAGGCGCGAAAGCUAGGGGGGCAAACAGGAUUAGAUACCCUGGUAGUCCUAGCCCUAAACGAUGAUUGCUUGGUGUGACGGGUACCCAAUCCCGCCGUGCCGCAGCUAACGCGAUAAGCA